rnacentral:rRNA from 1 species
CAAGCGGGGAGCUGGGAUUAAUUGGAUGCAACGCGAAGACCUUUACCAAGGCUUGACAUAUACGAGAACGGGCCAGAAAUGGUCAACUCUUUGGACACUCGUAAACAGGUGGUGCAUGGUUGUCGUCAGCUCGUGUCGUGAGAUGUUGGGUUAAGUCCCGCAACGAGCGCAACCCUCGUUCUAUGUUGCCAGCACGUAAUGGUGGGAACUCAUGGGAUACUGCCGGGGUCAACUCGGAGGAAGGUGGGGAUGACGUCAAAUCAUCAUGCCCCUUAUGUCUUGGGCUUCACGCAUGCUACAAUGGCCGGUACAAAGGGCUGCAAUACCGUGAGGUGGAGCGAAUCCCAAAAAGCCGGUCCCAGUUCGGAUUGAGGUCUGCAACUCGACCUCAUGAAGUCGGAGUCGCUAGUAAUCGCAGAUCAGCAACGCUGCGGUGAAUACGUUCCCGGGUCUUGUACACACCGCCCGUCAAGUCAUGAAAGUCGGUAACACCUGAAGCCGGUGGCCUAACCCUUGUGGAGGGAGCUGUCGAAGGUGGGAUCGGAAUU